rnacentral:rRNA from 1 species
CGCCUUGCCAGCCCGCUCAGAAACUACAAAGGAAUUGACGGGGGCCCGCACAAGCGGUGGAGUAUGUGGUUUAAUUCGAUGCAACGCGAAGAACCUUACCUGGUCUUGACAUCCCGGAGACCCUUAGGAAACUAGGGGGUGCUUCCAUCUGGAAGAACCUGGAGACAGGUGCUGCAUGGCUGUCGUCAGCUCGUGUCGUGAGAUGUUGGGUUAAGUCCCGCAACGAGCGCAACCCUUGCCUUUAGUUGCCAGCAGUUCGGCUGGGCACUCUAAAGGGACUGCCGGUGUUAAACCGGAGGAAGGUGGGGAUGACGUCAAGUCCUCAUGGCCUUUAUGACCAGGGCUACACACGUACUACAAUGGCCGAUACAAAGGGCAGCGACACUGCGAGGUGAAGCCAAUCCCGUAAAAUCGGUCUCAGUCCGGAUUGGAGUCUGCAACUCGACUCCAUGAAGUUGGAAUCGCUAGUAAUCGUGGAUCAGCAUGCCACGGUGAAUACGUUCCCGGGCCUU